GAUGAACGCUGGCGGCGUGCCUAAUACAUGCAAGUCGAGCGAACAGACGAGGAGCUUGCUCCUCUGACGUUAGCGGCGGACGGGUGAGUAACACGUGGAUAACCUACCUAUAAGACUGGGAUAACUUCGGGAAACCGGAGCUAAUACCGCAUAAUAUAUUGAACCGCAUGGUUCAAUAGUGAAAGACGGUUUUGCUGUCACUUAUAGAUGGAUCCGCGCCGCAUUAGCUAGUUGGUAAGGUAACGGCUUACCAAGGCAACGACGCGUAGCCGACCUGAGAGGGUGAUCGGCCACACUGGAACUGAGACACGGUCCAGACUCCUACGGGAGGCAGCAGUAGGGAAUCUUCCGCAAUGGGCGAAAGCCUGACGGAGCAACGCCGCGUGAGUGAUGAAGGUCUUCGGAUCGUAAAACUCUGUUAUUAGGGAAGAACAAAUGUGUAAGUAACUAUGCACGUCUUGACGGUACCUAAUCAGAAAGCCACGGCUAACUACGUG
rnacentral:rRNA from 1 species